CCAGACUCCUACGGGAGGCAGCAGUGGGGAAUAUUGCACAAUGGGGGAAACCCUGAUGCAGCGACGCCGCGUGAGUGAAGAAGUAUUUCGGUAUGUAAAGCUCUAUCAGCAGGAAAGAAAAUGACGGUACCUGACUAAGAAGCCCCGGCUAACUACGUGCCAGCAGCCGCGGUAAUACGUAGGGGGCAAGCGUUAUCCGGAUUUACUGGGUGUAAAGGGAGCGUAGACGGUGAAGCAAGUCUGAAGCGAAAGGCGGGGGCUCAACCCCCGGACUGCUUUGGAAACUGUUUGACUGGAGUGCAGGAGAGGUAAGUGGAAUUCCUAGUGUAGCGGUGAAAUGCGUAGAUAUUAGGAGGAACACCAGUGGCGAAGGCG
rnacentral:rRNA from 1 species